UACAGAGGUCUCAAGCGUUGUUCGGAUUCAUUGGGCGUAAAGGGUGUGUAGGUGGCGCCGUAAGUCGGGUGUGAAAUUUCGGAGCUUAACUCCGAAACUGCAUUCGAUACUGCGGUGCUUGAGGACUGGAGAGGAGACUGGAAUUCAUGGUGUAGCAGUGAAAUGCGUAGAGAUCAUGAGGAAGACCAGUGGCGAAGGCGGGUCUCUGGGCAACAACGUGACGCUGGAGGUGCGAAAGCGUGGGGAGCAAACAGG
rnacentral:rRNA from 1 species